AUUUGGCUGACGAGUCCCAGACAGGAGGAAAAGAGCAUCCUGGAU
rfam:Schistosoma rodhaini strain Burundi genome assembly, scaffold: SROB_scaffold0004500